UAGGGAAUCUUCCGCAAUGGGCGAAAGCCUGACGGAGCAACGCCGCGUGAGUGAUGAAGGUCUUCGGAUCGUAAAACUCUGUUAUUAGGGAAGAACAAAUGUGUAAGUAACUACGCACGUCUUGACGGUACCUAAUCAGAAAGCCACGGCUAACUACGUGCCAGCAGCCGCGGUAAUACGUAGGUGGCAAGCGUUAUCCGGAAUUAUUGGGCGUAAAGCGCGCGUAGGCGGUUUUUUAAGUCUGAUGUGAAAGCCCACGGCUCAACCGUGGAGGGUCAUUGGAAACUGGAAAACUUGAGUGCAGAAGAGGAAAGUGGAAUUCCAUGUGUAGCGGUGAAAUGCGCAGAGAUAUGGAGGAACACCAGUGGCGAAGGCGACUUUCUGGUCUGUAACUGACGCUGAUGUGCGAAAGCGUGGGGAUCAAACAGG
rnacentral:rRNA from 1 species